rnacentral:rRNA from 1 species
CCUACGGGAGGCAGCAGUGGGGGAUAUUGCACAAUGGGGGGAACCCUGAUGCAGCGACGCCGCGUGGGUGAAGGAGCGUUUCGGCGCGUAAAGCCCUAUCGGCAGGGAAGAAGAUGACGGUACCUGGCCAAGAAGCCCCGGCUAACUACGUGCCAGCAGCCGCGGUAAUACGUAGGGGGCAACCGUUAUCCGGCUUUACUGGGGGUAAAGGGGGCGCAGACGGCAAUGCAAACCAGGGGGGAAAGCCCGGGGCCCAACCCCGGGACUGCUCUUGGAACUGCAUGGCUGGAGUACAGGAGGGGCGGGCGGAAUUCCUAGUGUAGCGGUGAAAUGCGUAGAUAUUAGGAGGAACACCGGUGGCGAAGGCGGCCUGCUGGACUGUGACUGACGUUGAGGCCCGAAGGCGUGGGGAGCAAACAGGAUUAGAUACCCUUGUAGUC